rnacentral:lncRNA from 1 species
AGCGGAUAUAAUACAGGAUGUUACGCUCUAACGGAGAGCGCCUGAAAUUCACCAUAUCACGACGUAAGCGGCCUACCCAACCCCUACAACAUGGAGCAUAUGGAACAGGAUGAAGUGAUACCGCCACAGCAGCACAUGUCACUCAGCUAUGAUGACAGCUACGAGGGUGAAUACUCGUCAACGCCCAAUUCACGCAAUCGACGUGUCAUACGCGAAAUUAUCGUCUAAUAGAAUAGAAAAAAAUAAAAAAAUAAAUUAAAAAUAGAGAGUGAAAACAAAAUUAAUAAAAACCUUUUUGGAUAAGAAGAGUGUUGUUAAAAUGCAUCGCGCGUAGAGUAUGUGUGAAUCGAGUGAGGCCAACAAAAAAAAAAACGAAGCAAAACAUAACAACACAAGCCGUGCAUAUGUUUACAAAUAAGUUAAACAAAAUGAAACGCACUCGCGAAAAGCCAGAAAUGUUAAGCGAAAUAUUUUACAAAACCACUUUUUAUGUUUUUUUUUUUUUUUGUGAAAAUAAGUUUAUUCUUAUGUAAGUCAAGCGAGUAAAAGCGAAGGAGAGGAAAUAUAGAAAAAUGUGAGUGAAAUCAAAAUAAGCGCCCCAGCACAGCAUCAAUUUACUGCAGUAGAAACACAAACACACACACACCGACACACACCCUGAAAUAUCUCGGCAAGCAGCUACAUAUACACACAAAAAAACAGAAUGAGCACUGAUUGUUUAGCAUUUUUUGACGAAAAGUCAAUAUUUCUCACUGGCUUUAAAUAAUAAGAAAUUCACACACACCCACUCACAUGCGUAGCAAGCAGCGGGCGUUGCAUGCAACAUAGCAUACUUAUGGGAGUAGAGUUGCACAUAAACACACACACACACACAUACGCACUCACAUCAACGCAUUUCUGGUUUAUCUCUCUGCUGUUUGCAUUUGUGCAAGUGCCAUUCAAACAUACAUACAUACAUGCAUACAUACAUACAUACAUACAUAUGUAUGUACGAGCAUGCAUAUUGCAUGCAACCUUCGUUUUUUUUGCCACUUUUAUGCACUCGCGCACUCAAUCACUCACUCACUCACUCACUCACUCCUGAAACGCAUACAUUUCGCGCACACUCGCUGCAUUCAUUCUUCAGCUAAUCAUGUAUUCAUUCAAGCAUUCCUUCUGCUGCGCUCGCUUUACAUACAAACAAACAUAAAUAUUUACACUAUCUACACCCAACGAAAAAUCAACGAAAAGCAAAAACAACAAGAAACGUAUUCAACGUAUUUGAGAGUUGCCAUUUUUUUUUUUAGAAUUCUUAGUUAUAAAGCAGAGGAAUAAGUAUAAUUUUUUUAUAAGAAAAAAAAAAGGAAACGAAAAAGUACGACAAACUCUUCUACUAACUAAUUAAGUGUAUGUAAAUUAUGUACUAUAAAUACAAAUGUACAUACAUACAUACAUACGCGUAUUUUCGAGACAAAUUUUCGGAAUGAGCUUCUGGUGCUUUGCGCGCGUGACAUGCUGAGGUAGUGGCAAAUACCAUCUAUUUAUUAUCCAUAUUCUGUUGACUGUAAAAAAAGCAAGAAAAUAAAAAUUUUAAAAUAAUUAAGAUUGUAGCUAAAGGCGAAAAUAUGUCGGUAAGUGCGUGUGUACUUAAGCGUAAAUGCGGAAAUAUUUGCUAGAAUUCCGUUUUUUUUUUUAUUAAAGUAAGCUGCCAAAUGAAAACGCAAAAGGAAUUACUUACCCAACAAAGAAAAAAAUCAUACAUA